CGACGAAUCUUCCGCAAUGGGCGCAAGCCUGACGGAGCAAUGCCGCGUGCAGGAUGAAGCAGCUUCGCUGUGUAAACUGCUGUCAGGUCCUCGAACCAACGAUCGGGACCAGAGGAAGGGCCGGCUAAACUCGUGCCAGCAGCCGCGGUAAUACGAGUGGCCCGAGCGUUAAUCGGAAUCACUGGGCUUAAAGGGUGCGCAGGCGGACCGUUAGGCAUCCCGUGAAAGCCCCCGGCUCAACCGGGGAACUGCGGGGUGAACCAGCGGUCUUGAGGCAGGUAGGGGUCAGUGGAACCAUCGGUGGAGCGGUGAAAUGCGUAGAGAUCGAUGGGAACGCCAAUGGCGAAGGCAACUGACUGGGCCUGUCCUGACGCUCAGGCACGAAAGCGUGGGGAGCAAACAGGAUUAGAUACCCCUGUAGUCC
rnacentral:rRNA from 1 species